rnacentral:misc_RNA from 1 species
GCGGGCGGCUGGCGGUGAAGCAGGAACCCUCACGGGCGACCGUGGGAAUCCCCUCCCUUCAGGGAGGGGAGGAUGUCAAGAGCGAGCCAUGC